rnacentral:rRNA from 1 species
AGGAUAAACGCUGGCGGCGUGCCUAACACAUGCAAGUCGAACGCCCUUUUUCUUCGCAAGAGGGGGGAGGGAGUGGCGGACGGGUGAGGAACACAUGGGUGACCUACCUUCCAGUGAGGAAUACCGGCGAGAAAUCGCCGACAAGACCGCAUGAGCUUCUCUCGGUGAGCGAGGGAAGGAAAGCUCUCUUUCGCGAAAACGGAGGGGGGCGCUGGAAGAUGGGCCUGUGGCCGAUUAGCUAGUUGGUGAGGUAACGGCUCACCAAGGCGACGAUCGGUAGCUGGUCUGAGAGGACGAUCAGCCACACUGGGAUUGAGAACGGCCCAGACUCCUACGGGGGGCAGCAGUGAGGAAUUUUCCGCAAUGGGCGCAAGCCUGACGGAGCAACGCCGCGUGCAGGAAGACGGUUUUCGGAUCGUAAACUGCUUUUCGUCGGGGACGAGGAACGGACGGUACCCGAGGAAUCGAGCCCCGGCUAACGUACGUGCCAGCAGCCGCGGU